GAUGAACGCUAGCUACAGGCUUAACACAUGCAAGUCGAGGGGCAGCAGGAAGGUAGCUUGCUAUCUUCGCUGGCGACCGGCGCACGGGUGAGUAACGCGUAUCCAACCUGCCCGCUACUUGGGAACAGCCCUCUGAAAGGAGGAUUAAUGCCCGGUGCCUUGCUUUUGUCCGCAUGGCUUUGGCAAGAAAGAAUUCAUCGGUAGCGGAUGGGGAGUGCGUCUGAUUAGUUAGUCGGCGGGGUAACGGCCCACCGAGACGACGAUCAGUAGGGGUUCGUGAGAGGAAGGUCCCCCACCAUUGGAACUGAGACACGGUCCAAACUCC
rnacentral:rRNA from 1 species